AAGGGCUGAAGCCAGUUGGAUCUAAAGUGCCAAGUUAUUCGUUAUCAGGUGUUCCUGGACAGUUUUGAAACCAAGAUGUCUGAACGCCUCAAAUAAUCAGCAGUAAAGACAACAGAGACAAAUUCUCUAAUACCAAGGUCAAUGCAUUUGACUGCUGUCCAGCCCCGGGUUGCCACCGAAAACUUUAUGCAUCUUGGACUGGAAGAUGGUGUGCUAGUAAGGAAGCUAGCUACCACAGCUUUUGCCACCACAUCUCAGUGUUGGGAGGGAAGUUCACUCACUGCACAACUCUACCAGCUGUACCUUUCCUCCUCAGCCAUGAUCCGUAACCACCAUGGUUUUCUUUCUGGGCCAGAAGACUUUGCAAACAAAUAAGCAAUAAAUGAUCAUGCAUUACAAA